rnacentral:rRNA from 1 species
UUUAUGGAGAGUUUGAUCCUGGCUCAGGACGAACGCUGGCGGCGUGCCUAAUACGCCAGUCGAGCGGAUCGAUGGGAGCUUGCUCCCUGAGAUCGGGCAGGUAGUAACACGUGGGUAACUUACUGCCUGUAAAGACUGGGAUAACUCCGGGAAACCGGGGCUAAUACCGGAUAACACCCCAUGGGGGAAGGUUGAAAAUUGGCUUCGGCUGCCCAUCACUUGCAGAUGGACCCGCGGCGCAUUGUAGUUGGUGAGGUAAUGGCUCACCAAGGCGACGAUACGUAGCCGACCUGAGAAGGUGAUCGGCCACACUGGGACUGAGACGGCCCAGACUCCUACGGGAGGCAGCAGUAAGAAUCUUCCUGUGGACGAAAGUCUGACGAACAACGCCGCGUGAAAAUUGGUUUCCGGAUCGGCAAACUCUGUUGUUAGGGAAGAACAAGUGCCGUUCGAAUAGGGCGGCGCAGGCGGUACCUAACCAGAAAGCCACGGCUAACUACGUGCCAGCAGCCGCGGUAGCGUAGGUGGCAAAGCGUUGUCCAGGUAUUGGGCGUAAAGCGCGCGCAGGUGGUUUCUUAAGUCUGAUGUGAAAGCCACGGCUCAGCCGUGGAGGAUCAUUGGAAACUGGGGAACUUGAGUGCAGAAGAGGAAAGUGGAAUUCCAAGUGUGGCGGUGAAAUGCGUAGAUAUUUGGAGGAACACCAGUGGCGAAGGCGACUUUUCUGGUCUGUAACUGACACUGAGGCGCGAAAGCGUGGGGAGCAAACAGGAUUAGAUACCCUGGUAGUCCAUAUUAAACGAUGAGUUACUAAGUGUUGAAGGGUUUCCGCCCUUUAGUGCAGCUAACGCAUUAAGCACUCCGCCUGGGGGAGUACGGUCGCAAGACUGGCUUCAAAGGAAUUGACGGGGCCACACAAGCGGUGGAGCAUGUGGUUUAAUUCGAAGCAACGCGAAGAACCUUACCAGAUGUGACGUCACUCUGACAACCCUAGAAUGGGGCUUUCCCUUCGAGGGGGACAAGUGACAGGUGGUGCAUGGUUGUCGUCAGCUCGUGUCGUGAAUGUUGGGUUAGAGAUCCCGCAACGAGCAUAACCCGCCAGUCUUGGACGCCAGCAUUCAGUUGGGCACUUUCAGAUGACUGCGGUGACAAGCCGGAGGAAGAGGUGGGGAUGACGUCAAAUCAUCAUGCCCCUUAUGACCUGGAGCUACGUGCUACAAUGGACGGUACAAGGGGCUGCAAGACCGCGAGGUUUAGCCAAUCCCAUAAAAACCGUUCUCAGUUCAGUUGGCGAAACGCAACUCGCCUACUGGAAUCACUGAAAAUCCGCGGAUCCAGCAUGCCGCGGUAGACCGUUCCCGGGCGCGGCACACACCGCCCGUCACACCACGAGUUUGGGCAACACCCGAAGUCGGUGGGUAACCUUUGGAGCCAGCCGCCUAAGGUGGGACAGAUGAUUGGGGGUGAAGUCGUAACAAGGUAGCCGUAUCGGAAGGUUGCGGCUGGAUCACCUCCCUU